CCCGGCCCCCUUGCUUGACCCCGACCCCGACCACCUCCUUCGCGGCUCCGGCCGUCGCGCACGCAGCUCCUCCCCUCGCCGCCGGGCGGAUCUCUACACAGCCGUCCACACGCGCAGCUCCUGCCCACGGUUCCGAGCGGAGCUCUCCUGCGGCCGCUCGCGAGCAGCUCCUGCGCGCACCGCUGGGCGGAUCUCCCACGGCCGCUCACGCGCGCGGCUCCUGCCCACGGCGCCUAGCAGAGCUCUCCCGCAACCUGGCCUUCUACCAGGACCGCUCGACCAAAUGGAUAGCAAGGGCAAACCAAAAAACAAGAUUUCAUGGCCAAGAUCUCUUCACCAGCGGUUCAAAUCCCCUUUUCUCUUGCUUGAUUUUUCUGAUCCAUUCAUUGGCGAUGCAGCUUGAGGUCAAGAGAAGGAUGGGACGGGGAAAUAAGAAGCUAAUCUACGUUUGUCUACUUUCUUUUUCUAAUGCUGCUGCUUGAUUUGGACGGGGAUUCCGAGAAGCAAGUCUUGACAUGGAGGGGAUCAUAGCUGUUCAUGGUGCCUGUAUAUGCCUCUAGCCUCCUCAACCUCAGUGACCGGCGCUCACAUGGAUUUCUAUUGCAUUUAUAGAAACCCAUCUGGGUGAGUGUAGAAUUUCUUUCUAUGUUCAUUUAUAGAAACCCCAUCUGGCAAGCAUAGAAUUUGUUGGUAUGUUCAUCUAUAGGAACACCAUCACUUUGGCCUAUUUUUUUUAGAAUCAUAUAUAUGUUUGUGUUUGUGCAUAUAUACUAUUAGUUGACUGUGUGCCCAUGCUUGCAAUAAUAUACAUGUUAGUGCCUGAUCACAGAUACUAUAUGUUUAAUUUGCUAGUAGUCUCUUCUAUGCAUAGAUCAUAGUAUCAUACACAUGCUACCCAUAUUUUUAUGAUUAUCCUCACUGGUUUUUAUGCCUUUUGUUACUGAGGUGGGUUGCUGAGGUGGAUCCAAUUGAUGACAGCUCCCACAAUACAUCAUAUAUUUGUCUAGUAUUUUCCUCCCAUGUUUAUAUGAUCGUCCUCACUGGUUUAUGAUCACAUUCCAUUUUGGUACUCCAUCAGAGCAUCCAUUCCUAUCAGAUGCAUGCUUCUAUGCCAAAAAAAAACCCAGCUUUAAUGUAUUGACCUGACCAGGGCAUAAAAUUAACCAGCUUACCACCAUCCCAACAUUUGAAUGUAUGUGGAGAAUUAUAUACUAGUGUAGAGAGCCUUGUACGAUGGCAUAUAAACCUGUAAAGUCAGGCAUAAUAUAAACAUGCAUCUAAUCAGACAUGAUGCUCGCCGCUUCAACGCGACAUCAUUUGUUGCUUGAGCCCAUACUUCUAUGAUUUUUUUCACUGCUUUUUAUGCAUAGAUACUGUAUAUCUUGAGCGUCUGAGCAUAGAUACUGACUUGUAUCUUAUGUUUCUAUGAUUUCCCUCACUUGUUUUUAUACCUUUUGUUGCUUCAUGUUGUUGUUUAGAUGUAUGUAAUUGCACUUAUAUAUUUAUUUUGUUAUUUUUUCUCAUAUUUCUAAAACUGCACUCACUUAAAUUUAUGCCUUUUUUAAUUGCGAGGUGUGUUGUUGACGAGGAUCUACUGGACGACGACUUCCACAACCGCAAGCUAGCAUCAUAGUCCUCACCAGCGGAGUGCAAACAUCAUUGAUUUUGUAUUCUUAGUUUGUAUAUUUCUUUGAGGAAAUUUAUAGUUCGCACAACUGUACAUCUCUAUUUGAUUAAAAAUCUAGAUGGAUAUUGGUUUCUAUGCUUCCAUGCGAGGUUUAUAUGCCAUGUGAAAGUAUAAUUUAAAGAUA